rnacentral:SRP_RNA from 1 species
CCGUGCUAGGUGGGGAACUAGCGGUGCCCUGUACCCGCAAUCCGCUUUAGCGGGACGGAAUUCCCAUCCCGAGGGGUAAGGCUAGCGAUUCUGCCUUCGUUCGGUGGCGUUGAUGAUUGGGUCCUGCGCGACAGGGCCCCGUGAACCCCGCCAGGUCCGGAAGGAAGCAACGGUAAGCGGUGUGCCCUGGGUGCCGCAGGGGAGCCUGGUCGGAGUCACCGGGCGUGGGCAUGGCGUUGGACCUGCCUCGACGGAGGGUGCACGG